rnacentral:rRNA from 1 species
AUUGAACGCUGGCGGCAUGCUUUACACAUGCAAGUCGAACGGCAGCGCGGGCUUCGGCCUGGCGGCGAGUGGCGAACGGGUGAGUAAUGCAUCGGAACGUGCCCAGUAGUGGGGGAUAGCCCGGCGAAAGCCGGAUUAAUACCGCAUACGACCUGAGGGUGAAAGCGGGGGACCGAACGGCCUCGCGCUAUUGGAGCGGCCGAUGUCGGAUUAGCUAGUUGGUGGGGUAAAGGCUUACCAAGGCGACGAUCCGUAGCUGGUCUGAGAGGACGACCAGCCACACUGGGACUGAGACACGGCCCAGACUCCUACGGGAGGCAGCAGUGGGGAAUUUUGGACAAUGGGGGCAACUCUGAUCCAGCCAUGCCGCGUGCGGGAAGAAGGCCUUCGGGUUGUAAACCGCUUUUGUUCGGGAAGAAAUCCUCUGGGCUAAUACCCCGGGGGGAUGACGGUACCGGAAGAAUAAGCACCGGCUAACUACGUG